AAAUCCCGUGAAUUAACUUGGGUCACAUGUGUGGUUUUGGCUGUUUUGACCGCAUCAUUUGGUGUAACUGGUUAUUCUUUGCCUUAGGAUCAAAUUGGCUAUUGGGCAGUCAAAAUUGCGAUAGGUGUACCUGACGCCAUUCCGAUAAUAGGAUCGCCUUUAGUGGAGUUAUUACACGGAAGUGCUAAUGUGGGCCAAUCCACUUUGACUCGUUUUUAUACUUUACAUAUUUUUGUACUGCCUCUGUUUACUGCCAUAUUUACUAUAAGACUACUAAAAAAAUAA
rnacentral:rRNA from 1 species